rnacentral:tRNA from 1 species
UCCCUGGUGGCUCAGAUGGUAAAGCGUCUGCCUACAAUGCAGGAGACUGGGGUUCAAUCCCUGGGUUGGGAA